rnacentral:rRNA from 1 species
AUGAACGCUGGCGGUAUGCUUAACACAUGCAAGUCGAACGGUCUCUUCGGAGAUAGUGGCGGACGGGUGAGUAACGCGUGAGAAUCUGUCUUCAGGUCGGGGACAACCACUGGAAACGGUGGCUAAUACCGGAUGUGCCUUUGGGUGAAAGAUUAAUUGCCUGGAGAUGGGCUCGCGUCUGAUUAGCUAGUAGGUGUGGUAAGAGCGCACCUAGGCGACGAUCAGUAGCUGGUCUGAGAGGAUGAUCAGCCACACUGGGACUGAGACACGGCCCAGACUCCUACGGGAGGCAGCAGUGGGGAAUUUUCCGCAAUGGGCGAAAGCCUGACGGAGCAAUACCGCGUGAGGGAGGAAGGCUCUUGGGUUGUAAACCUCUUUUCUCAAGGAAGAACACAAUGACGGUACUUGAGGAAUCAGCAUCGGCUAACUCCGUGCCAGCAGCCGCGGUAAUACGGAGGAUGCAAGCGUUAUCCGGAAUGAUUGGGCGUAAAGCGUCCGCAGGUGGCUUUGUAAGUCUGCUGUUAAAGAGUGAGGCUCAACCUCAUAAAAGCAGUGGAAACUACAAGGCUAGAGUACGUUCGGGGCAGAAGGAAUUCCUGGUGUAGCGGUGAAAUGCGUAGAGAUCAGGAAGAACACCGGUGGCGAAAGCGUUCUGCUAGGCCGUAACUGACACUGAGGGACGAAAGCUAGGGGAGCGAAUGGGAUUAGAUACCCCAGUAGUCCUAGCCGUAAACGAUGGAUACUAGGCGUGGCUUGUAUCGACCCGAGCCGUGCCGGAGCUAACGCGUUAAGUAUCCCGCCUGGGGAGUACGCACGCAAGUGUGAAACUCAAAGGAAUUGACGGGGGCCCGCACAAGCGGUGGAGUAUGUGGUUUAAUUCGAUGCAACGCGAAGAACCUUACCAAGACUUGACAUGUCGCGAACCUUUGUGAAAGCAGAGGGUGCCUUCGGGAGCGCGAACACAGGUGGUGCAUGGCUGUCGUCAGCUCGUGUCGUGAGAUGUUGGGUUAAGUCCCGCAACGAGCGCAACCCUCGCUUUUAGUUGCCAGCAUUAAGUUGGGCACUCUAGAGAGACUGCCGGUGACAAACCGGAGGAAGGUGGGGAUGACGUCAAGUCAGCAUGCCCCUUACGUCUUGGGCUACACACGUACUACAAUGCUACGGACAAAGGGCAGCAAGCUAGUGAUAGCAAGCAAAUCUCAUAAACCGUAGCUCAGUUCAGAUCGCAGGCUGCAACUCGCCUGCGUGAAGUCGGAAUCGCUAGUAAUUGCAGGUCAGCAUACUGCAGUGAAUUCGUUCCCGGGCCUUGUACACACCGCCCGUCACACAUGGAAGCUGGCAACGCCCGAAGUCAUUACUCCAACUGUUCGCAGAGGAGGAUGCCUAAGGCAGUGCUGGUGACUGGGGUG